CUCAAGAACGCUUUGACCUAGGAUUAUGAAACUUCAUAGGUACAUUGAUCAUGACUUGCAGAUGAUCCCUAUUGAUUUUGAGGUCACUAGGUCAAGGUCACGGUAACCCGAAAUAGUAAAAUGGUUUUUGAAUGAUAACUCAAGAACGCAUACGCCUAGGAUCAUGAAACUUCAUGGGUAGAUUGAUCAUGACUUGCAAAUGACCCCUAUUGAUUUUGAGGUCACUAGGUCAAAGGUCAAGGUCACGGUGACCCGAAAUAGUAAAAUGGUUUCCGGAUGAUAACUCAAGAAUGCAUACGCCUAGGAUCAUGAAACUUCAUGGGUAGAUUGAUCAUAACUCGCAGAUGACCCCUAUUGAUUUUGAGGUCACUAGGUCAAAGGUCAAGGUCACAGUGACCCGAAAUAGUAAAAUGAUUUUCGGAUGAUAACUCAAGAACGCAUAUGCCUAGGAUCAUGAAACUUCAUAGGUAGAUUGAUCAUGACUUUCAGAUGACCCCUAUUGAUAUUUUGAGGUCACAAGGGCAAAGGUCAAGGUCACGGUGACCCGAAAUAGUAAAAUGAUUUUCGGAUGAUAACUCAAGAACGCUUUUGCCUAGGAUCAUGACACUUUAUAGGUACAUUGAUCAUGACUUGCAGAUGACCCCUAUUGAUUUUCAGGUCACUAGGUCAAAGGUCAAGGUCACAGUGACAAAAGUCGUAUUCACACAAUGGCUGCCAGUACAACGGACAGCCCAUAUGGGGGGCAUGCAUGUUUUGCAAACAGCCCUUGUUUUUCUAUGAACUAUUUAAUAGAGACCCUAAUUUUUUACAACGUAAAUCUUUCAAAAAGUUAUGUUUAUAAAGUGAAUUGUUGCUAUUCUCUUGUUAAAAUGUAUUGUCAUUGUUGAUUUCUACAG